UUAUUGUUGUUAAAGAUUAUUUUUCAAUUUUAUAUCUUGAUAAUUUCGAGUAAUUUCAAGAGCAUAAUAAACCACGCGCACUUAAUUGAGGCGUUAAUCAUUCGAAUUUCGAAGUUCAGAUUUUCGAAUUAGCUCGAAAAAGUCUCUAAGAGAAAAUUUUGCCUUAGCCGUAGUUUUGUAUACAUGAUGUACGUAUAUUUGGGGAUAAUGGAUUUCCAUUUAUUUUUUGAAGAAAUGACAUUAAUUUUGCUCCGAUCCGAAAAGUCUUCGAAUCCCACAGGACAGCGCAUUAGAGGAGGACCGAGGGAGUGACCUCACCAACUUGGAGAA